AGCACCUGUGUCUGUUCUUGUCUAACUUGUGGAUAAACACUUACAGGUAGGUGGGAAAAAAUCCUUUUUUCCAAAUUAGAACUCAUUGUUCAGUAUAAGUUUUGAUACACAUAAGAAGAAGUAUU
ensembl:snoRNA